GAUUCCGCAUGGUUUCAUUAUUAAAGGAUUCCGGUAAAGGAUGGGGAUGCGUUCCAUUAGGUUGUUGGUGAGGUAACGGCCCACCAAGUCUUCGAUGGAUAGGGGUUCUGAGAGGAAGGUCCCCCACAUUGGAACUGAGACACGGUCCAAACUCCUACGGGAGGCAGCAGUGAGGAAUAUUGGUCAAUGGGCGAUGGCCUGAACCAGCCAAGUAGCGUGAAGGAUGACUGCCCUAUGGGUUGUAAACUUCUUUUAUAUUAGAAUAAAGUGCAGUAUGUAUACUGUUUUGUAUGUAUAAUAUGAAUAAGGAUCGGCUAACUCCGUGCCAGCAGCCGCGGUAAUACGGAGGAUCCGAGCGUUAUCCGGAUUUAUUGGGUUUAAAGGGAGCGUAGGUGGACUGGGAAGUCAGUUGUGAAAGUUUGCGGCUCAACCGUAAAAUUG
rnacentral:rRNA from 1 species